GGCGCUAUAGCCAAGUGGUUACGGCGACAGAUUUGAAUUGAAAGACAUUAUCUGUUCCUCUUUGAGGGCGCAGGUUCGAACCCUGCUGGCGUCG